GACGAACGCUGGCGGUGUGCUUAACACAUGCAAGUCGAACGGUAAGGCCCUCUCGGGGGUACACGAGUGGCGAACGGGUGAGUAACACGUGAGUAACCUGCCCUCAUCUCUGGGAUAACAGUCGGAAACGGUUGCUAAUACUGGAUAUGAGCUUGCAAGGCAUCUUGUGGGUUGGAAAGAUUUUUUUUGGUUGGGGAUGGACUCGCGGCCUAUCAGCUUGUUGGUGAGGUAGUGGCUCACCAAGGCUUCGACGGGUAGCCGGCCUGAGAGGGCGACCGGCCACAUUGGGACUGAGAUACGGCCCAAACUCCUACGGGAGGCAGCAGUGGGGAAUAUUGCACAAUGGACGGAAGUCUGAUGCAGCAACGCCGCGUGCGGGAUGACGGCCUUCGGGUUGUAAACCGCUUUCAAUUGUGACGAAGCUUUUUUGUGACGGUAGCAGUAGAAGAAGCACCGGCUAACUACGUG
rnacentral:rRNA from 1 species